CAGGAUUUUUAGAAGACUAGUUAAAUUAAAUUUUUUUCUAUAGGCAAGAGUAGACCUCUAAUUUUUAACUUUUAUAUGAUAAGUUAAUUUUAUAUUUGUAAUGGGUCACACUUACUAAUUACUAAGUUACUCUCUUAAAAAAGCAUCUUCAACAUACUGAGGUUUACAUUUCAUAUCUGUGCAACUGUGCCAAUAUCGUCCAAUAUUAAAUAUAUAAAUAACAUAAUAUUAGAGAGAUAUUGGUGAAUAUAAAUUAAAAUUAGAUUGAGAAGCUUUUUGGCUAGAAUUCACUUUAGGAUUUAUAUUGCUUAUAUUACUCUUCUUUUUCAGGACUUGUGCCAUAGCACAGAGAAGUGGAGAAUACAAGAACAGCAACAUCCAGAAAUUAAAACACAAACAAACCAAAGCACCCACAACAACUCAAACUAGGCCCUUAUUAUCGGAGUUUCAGUCAGCCAACAUAAAGUAGGCUCUUUCUACACCCACCUCUGCUUUAUUAUCCACAGUAUUUUUCAGUCUUACUUCUAUCAAAAUCAUCUAACUUAUUGAUUUGUUUACUUGUUUAUUCUCCAUUUCUGUAGUCCUAGUUUUCUUUUUCCUAAGAGUUGUUUCUUCAUAAAAGCAGGUGACCUCUGCAACUUAUCUUGUCACUCUCUACCCUUUGUACCCAGAAUAAUGUCUAAUAUAUACUAACUAAGUGUUCAACUCUGAUAUCUCACCUUUUUUCCCCAAUGUCCCUUUCCUCUUUCCCUUUCUUCCAUUCCUAACUUCCUCCCUUGAGUCAAAACCUUUCUCUUCUAUAGCAGGCAACAGAUUAAAAAAAUCUCAUCAGAUUAGAGGAAAUAAAUUCCAACUUUAUAACUGGAAAGAAAGAGUAAUAGCUUGAUUUCUAUUGCCUAUGCUUACUACAGGAAAAUUGAGCAAACAUUUUUUCACAAAACACUGAAUCCUCCCUUUCUUCUUGAGUACAGGCUGGAUUUAGUGAGUUGAUUCCACAGAAUAGAGUAUAGGAAGGGGUGAAAAGUUACUUUGCGGUGCAGAAAAUUGGCAGUCACUAUCUUAAUGAAGUGAUCAAAGUUAACUUUCCCAGUGAUAUAAUUUUGAUACUACGUACCCUUGAUAUGAUAUGAUGAGAAUGCCACUUCUCUGAUGUGACAUUCUUCCCCAGACCAAUAGCCACAGUCUAAGAAUAAGAAAAGCAUCUGACAGGGCUAGGCAGGGUGGCUCAUGCCUGUAAUCUCAGCACUUUGGGAGGCCAAGGCGGGCCGAUCACGAUGUCAGGAGAUUGUGACCAUCCUGGCUGACACGGUGAAACCCCAUCUCCACUACAAAUAACAAAAAUUAGUAGGGUGUGGUGGUGGGCACCUGUAGUCCCAGCUACUCGGGAGGCUGAGUCAGAAGAAUGGCUUGAACCCGAGAGGCAGAGCUUGCAGUGAGCCCAGAUUGUGCCACUGCACUCCAGCCUGGACGAUAGAGCAAGACAGUCUCAAAAAAAAAAAAAAAAAAAAAAAAGAAAAGCAUCUGAUAAACACAGAAUGAAGAUCAUUCUACCAAACAUGUGCCCAGUGCUUCUCAAGCCUGUCAAGGUCAUCAAAAACAAGGAAAAACAAUCACAGACCAGAGAAGACUAAGGAGGCAUGAUAUCCAAAUGUGAUGUGGUACUGUGGAUGGGAUCUUGCAACAGAAAAAGAAUAUUAGAGAAAAACUGGUGGAAUCCAAAAACAGUCUAGAGUUUAGUUAACAGUAAUAUACCAAUGUUGGUUUGUUGUGAUGAAUGUACUGUGGUGUUUAUGUAAGAUGUUAACUAUUAGGAAAACUGGAUGUGGAAACUCUGUAUACUAUCUUUGUAACUUUUAUGUAAAUCUACAACUCUUCUGAAAUAAAAGGAUUUUAUUUUAAAAAAGCAACUAGGAAAUUCUAGCUUGAUGUCUCCUCCAACUUUGUACAGAUUUUGCCAAAAUAUUGCAUUCUUUUAUAAUCCCAUUU
rnacentral:lncRNA from 10 species